rnacentral:rRNA from 1 species
GGGUUUCCUCAUUUUGUUGUAGGAUUAAAAUAAAAGUUUUAUUCUUGCUUGAAUAUUUAUUUGUUUCUUUGAUUUAUAUGUAAAUUUUUGUGUGUAGUUAUUUCUAGAAGAUUUAAUUGGUAGUUAAUGCAGUAUAUGAUUUUAUAAAUUGGGUUAUUCUUGAUUUAGCAAUGGAAUUUAGUUUUGGUUAAAUUUGUGCCAGCAGCCGCGGUUAUACAUGGAAUGCUAGUAAAUAUUUUUAGUUUAAUAGUUAUUAUGUUUAUAUUUAAUUAUAUUUAAUUUAUUUAGGUGAAAUUUUUUGUUUGUUUAUUUUAAUAUUUUAAGAGGCUAUGAAAUCUAUUUAAUAAACUAGGAUUAGAUACCCUAUUAUUUUUGAUGUGAAUUCUUUAUGCUUGAGUAGUAUUAGUUUUGGUCUUGAAACUUAAAGAAUUUGGCGGUAUUUUAGUCUUUUUAGAGGAAUCUGUCCCAUUAUCGAUAUUCCACGUUGAAUACUUACUUAAUCUAAUGUUUAUAUACCGCCGUUUUUGGAAUGUCUUUUUAGAGUUAGUAAAGUUCUUAUUUUUUAUUAAGGUUUAUUUCAGGUCAAGGUUUAAUAUAUGAUUAAGUGGAGAUGGAUUACAAUAUUUUUUGAGUAUUAUGGAUUUUUUAUUGUAAUAUUGGAAUGAAGGUGGAUUUAAUAGUAAUUUAAUUCAGAAUAUUUAGGUGAUUAAAGCUCUAAAAUAUGUACACAUCGCCCGUCGCUCUCGUUAUAAGAUGAGAUAAGUCGUAACAUAGUAGUUGUACUGGAAGGUGUAGCUAGAAUGAAAUAAU